GAUGAAGAACGUAGCGAAAUGCGAUACGUAAUGUGAAUUGCAGAAUUCAGUGAAUCAUCGAGUCUUUGAACGCACAUUGCGCCCCUUGGUAUUCCGAGGGGCAUGCCUAUUCGAGCGUCAUUAUCACCCCUCAAGCCUAGCUUGGUGUUGAGAACUGCUGUCAAGGCAGUCUCUAAAAUCAGUGGCAGUGCUGUCAGGCUCUAAGCGUAGUAAAUUCAUCGCUAUAGACACCUGGUGACCACUCGCCAGAACCCCCCCAUUUUUUAAUGAUUGACCUCGGAUUAGGUAGGGAUACCCGCUGAACUUAAGCAUAUCAAUAAGCGGAGGA
rnacentral:misc_RNA from 1 species